rnacentral:rRNA from 1 species
UACAGAGGUCUCAAGCGUUGUUCGGAUUCAUUGGGCGUAAAGGGUGCGUAGGUGGCGCGGUAAGUCGGAUGUGAAAGCUCGGAGCUCAACUCCGAAAUGGCAUUGGAAACUACGUCGCUAGAGGAUCGGAGGGGAGACUGGAAUUCUCGGUGUAGCAGUGAAAUGCGUAGAUAUCGAGAGGAACACCAAUAGCGAAGGCAGCUCGCUGGGACGGUACUGACGCUAAGGCGCGAAAGCGUGGGGAGCGAACAGG